AUUGAACGCUGGCGGAAUGCUUUACACAUGCAAGUCGAACGGCAGCACGGGGGCAGCCCUGGUGGCGAGUGGCGAACGGGUGAGUAAUACAUCGGAACGUGCCCUGUCGUGGGGGAUAACGUAGCUAAAGUUACGCUAAUACCGCAUACGAUCAGAGGAUGAAAGCGGGGGACCUUCGGGCCUCGCGCGAUCGGAGCGGCCGAUGUCAGAUUAGGUAGUUGGUGGGGUAAAGGCCUACCAAGCCGACGAUCUGUAGCUGGUCUGAGAGGACGACCAGCCACACUGGGACUGAGACACGGCCCAGACUCCUACGGGAGGCAGCAGUGGGGAAUUUUGGACAAUGGGCGCAAGCCUGAUCCAGCCAUUCCGCGUGCAGGACGAAGGCCUUCGGGUUGUAAACUGCUUUUGUACGGAACGAAAAGGCUCUGGCUAAUACCUGGGGCUCAUGACGGUACCGUAAGAAUAAGCACCGGCUAACUACGUG
rnacentral:rRNA from 1 species